rnacentral:lncRNA from 1 species
AUGACAUAUCUGGCUUUUGAGGAAGGUUUUGAUAAGUGCUGUAUUGUUUCGUCUAUAGUUUUAUGUACUAUUUCCAGUGAUUACUUUGGACUGCACAAGGAGAGCAGUGCACCAUAGUCUGCGCAGCCAACAAUAGUAUGAAUGGCAAAGCAGCAUUGCAUGGCUUCUCACUGAGAUCAUCCGCAAAGGCUGACAUCACCCUCUCUCACUUCCUGGAACCACCUGUUGUACCAUGGUGACUAAGAGUACAAAAUUAAGGGCAAACUUAGGCUUCUGUAAAUGACUACAUUUUUCAAGGAUUUCCAUGCCCUUUUAUUACCAGCAUUGGGUUAAUUGAUUUCUAAAUUAACUUGUUUGUAGAUAGAGGAUGAAUAAAUGGUCCUGAUCAAAUCAACCUAGUAAUCGUGUGUUUUAGAUAAAUCAAGUUUUUUUUGUUGAUCUGAUUAUUCUUUAAAGAAAAGUAGGUUUAUGUUACGAAGAAGAGUCAGGUUCCUGUGAAAUGAGAAUUGAUGGAAAACUUAAUCUUUCCCUAAUGAUAUGAUUCUUAUAAAGUUUAUAUAAACUUUAACCGUUUCGGCACCAGCUGAUCUUUAUUAACGUAGGAUCAACAACUACGAGAAAUGGAGCAAGAAUUAAAGAGACGAAAUUUUGAGAUAAAGUUUGUCACUGUAUUGAUCCGAAAUUCACAAGAGAGUUGCACAAAAUAAAAUAAACGAGAGUAGAUGAGAGUAAACGAAUUUCCACACAUCGAAGCACUUGGGUGAGAUACACUUGAUGAAAGUAAAUUAGAAUGGUCACUUGAGAUUGAGAACUUAGAGAGAGGACCGAGAGUUACUAAGACCGUUGAGAAGUACAGGCCUUGGGUCUACAAGAUGGGAAAAGACCGUUGAGAGGCACAGGUCCUGGGUCUACAAGAUGGGAAAAGACCUAGAUUUUUGGGCAGCGCACGCUUUUAUGGACUUGCUGACAUCACGGGUGGCGAGACAAUAAGUCUAUGCGUGAUUGGCUGGCUAUGAUCUGUGUAGCUAUCAGUUGCAAGUCUAGUAAUAA